UACAAUCAAUUUCAUCGACAAAUCAGCC
rnacentral:piRNA from 1 species